rnacentral:rRNA from 1 species
GGUCCCAAGGGUAUGGCUGUUCGCCAUUUAAAGUGGUACGCGAGCUGGGUUUAGAACGUCGUGAGACAGUUCGGUCCCUAUCUGCCGUGGGCGCUGGAGAACUGAGGGGGGCUGCUCCUAGUACGAGAGGACCGGAGUGGACGCAUCACUGGUGUUCGGGUUGUCAUGCCAAUGGCACUGCCCGGUAGCUAAAUGCGGAAGAGAUAAGUGCUGAAAGCAUCUAAGCACGAAACUUGCCCCGAGAUGAGUUCUCCCUGAGACUUAAAGUCUCCUGAAGGAACGUUGAAGACGACGACGUUGAUAGGCCGGGUGUGUAAGCGCAGCGAUGCGUUGAGCUAACCGGUACUAAUGAACCGUGAGGCUUAACCUUACAACGCCGAAG